CGCAGCUACCAUGCAGUCGAGGGGCAGCACGAGUAGCAAUACUUGGUGGCGACCGGCGCAAGGGUGCGUAACGCGUGAGCAACAUGCCCGUAUCAGGGGGAUAAUCCAGGGAAACUUGGUCUAAUACCCCAUAGUAAUUUCGUAAGGCAUCUUAUGGGAUUUAAAGCUUUGGUGGAUACGGAUUGGCUCGCGUGACAUUAGCUAGAUGGUAAGGUAACGGCUUACCAUGGCUAUGAUGUCUAGGGGUUCUGAGAGGAAGGUCCCCCACACUGGAACUGAGACACGGUCCAGACUCCUACGGGAGGCAGCAGUGAGGAAUAUUGGACAAUGGAUGGAAAUCUGAUCCAGCCAUGCCGCGUGAAGGAAGAAUGUCCUAUGGAUUGUAAACUUCUUUUGUAUGGGAGCAAUAAGGUCUUCGUGAAGACUGAUGAGAGUACCAUACGAAUAAGCAUCGGCUAACUCCGUGCCAGCAGCCGCGGUAAUACGGAGGAUGCGAGCGUUAUCCGGAUUUAUUGGGUUUAAAGGGUGCGUAGGCUGUUAUAUAAGUCAGUGGUGAAAUAUUCGGGCUCAACCGGGAUACUGCCAUUGAUACUGUAUAGCUGGAAUAUGGUUGCUGUGGGUGGAAUGUGUGGUGUANC
rnacentral:rRNA from 1 species